CUACGGGAGGCUGCAGGGGAUCUUUUGCAAUGCGCGCAAGCGUGGCAAAGCGAACCAGAGUGUUUCUCGUAUAGAGAAACUUUUACUAACUGUAAAAAAGCUAGAGAAUAAGGACUGGGCAAGACCGGUGCCAGCCGCCGCGGUAAUCCCGGCAGUCCAAGUCGCAGCCACAUUUAUUGGGUCUAAAACAUCCGUAGCUUGCUUUAUAAGUUUGUUGUGAAAUUCUGUCUCUUAAGGGCAAAAAUGGCAAUGAAUACUGUAAAGCUAGAGACCGGUGGACGUGAGGAGUACAUUUGAGGUAGUAGUAAAAUUCGUUAAUCUCAAAUGGACUAACAAUAGCGAAGGCACCUCGCGAUGACGGUUCUGACAGUGAGGGAUGAAGGCUAGGGGCGCAAAACGGAUUAGAUACCCCGGUAGUC
rnacentral:rRNA from 1 species